rnacentral:rRNA from 1 species
GAUGAACGCUGGCGGCGUGCCUAAUACAUGCAAGUCGAGCGAACAGAUGAGGAGCUUGCUCCUUUGACGUUAGCGGCGGACGGGUGAGUAACACGUGGAUAACCUACCUAUAAGACUGGGAUAACUCCGGGAAACCGGGGCUAAUACCGGAUAACAUUUAGAACCGCAUGGUUCUACAGUGAAAGAUGGUUUUGCUAUCACUUAUAGAUGGACCCGCGCCGCAUUAGCUAGUUGGUAAGGUAACGGCUUACCAAGGCAACGAUACGUAGCCGACCUGAGAGGGUGAUCGGCCACACUGGAACUGAGACACGGUCCAGACUCCUACGGGAGGCAGCAGUAGGGAAUCUUCCGCAAUGGGCGAAAUCCUGACGGAGCAACGCCGCGUGAGUGAAGAAGGUCUUCGGAUCGUAAAACUCUGUUAUUAGGGAAGAACAAAUGUGUAAGUAACUGUGCACGUCUUGACGGUACCUAAUCAGAAAGCCACGGCUAACUACGUG